rnacentral:tRNA from 1 species
CUAAGGAAUUAACGGAACCCAACACAUUCGUCUUUAUUUUGUUCAGUUUUGAGAGGUCUAACUUCUCAAUUAAAUAUAUCUUUUUUAGAGCUCUUAAUAUGUUGGGCCUAUAGCUCAGCUGGUUAGAGCGCACGCCUGAUAAGCGUGAGGUCGAUGGUUCGAGUCCAUUUAGGCCCACUAGUUUCACUCUAAAAAAAACAAUACCUUUAACAAGGGGCCUUAGCUCAGCUGGGAGAGCGCCUGCCUUGCACGCAGGAGGUCAGCGGUUCGAUCCCGCUAGGCUCCAUUAGUAAUCUUUUGUUAGAUUACUUGAAUUUGUUCUUUGAAAACUGGAUACUGUAUUAAAAAAGUAAGUUAAGUAAGAAACCGAGAAACACCGCGUUUUAAAUGAGUUUUUUAAUUAGUUCUUAUCGUAAGAUAAUGAAUAAACAUUAACUAACAGGAUUGUUUUAGCAAUAAAACCUUCCACACAAACUAUUUGUGCAGGAAUGCAACAGAAUUCUAGGAUUGAACUGCAAUGAGCCUCGAAGCGUACUAACGUACGUAAGAAGUGAAUGAAAGAACAAGACAAUGAAGACUGAAGCAGUACCAACAAAUAA